GACGUAGGGCGCGAGCGUUGUCCGGAUUUAUUGGGCGUAAAGAGCUCGUAGGCGGCUUGUCGCGUCGACUGUGAAAUCCCGCGGCUCAACCGCGGGUCUGCAGUCGAUACGGGCAGGCUAGAGUUCGGUAGGGGAGACUGGAAUUCCUGGUGUAGCGGUGAAAUUCGUAGAUAUCGGGAGGAACACCGGUGGCGAAGGCGGCGACCUGGGUCGAUACUGACGCUGAGGUGCGAAAGCGUGGGGAGCGAACAGG
rnacentral:rRNA from 1 species